rnacentral:rRNA from 1 species
UACGUAGGUGGCAAGCGUUGUCCGGAAUUAUUGGGCGUAAAGCGCGCGCAGGUGGUCCUUUAAGUCUGAUGUGAAAGCCCACGGCUCAACCGUGGAGGGUCAUUGGAAACUGGGGGACUUGAGUACAGAAGAGGAAAGUGGAAUUCCACGUGUAGCGGUGAAAUGCGUAGAGAUGUGGAGGAACACCAGUGGCGAAGGCGCCUUUCUGGUCUGUACCUGACACUGAGGCGCGAAAGCGCGGGGAGCGAACAGG